rnacentral:lncRNA from 1 species
ACGAUAAAUGUGCUGAAAUCAUCUUUAAGUUUGACAAGCCUAUAUAUGUGUAACACAAAAAAUCUUAGCAAAUGAAAACAUCUUAGCAACUUCACUUUACUGGAAAGACAAUUGAAUCUACAUGGAAAUGAGCUAUUGCAAAUCAUGUAGUUCAGAAACAUAGACACGGUCUAAGUAGUUUACUAGGCUUAGAUCAGCAUGGAAAUCUUUUGUUUCUUUUCUAAAGUGUAUUUCCAUGUCUGAAUAUUGGUCUUAUUAACGAACCAUCUGUUUGAAAAGUCAGUCCAGAUCUUAGAGCUGCACGUGGGCAAUAUUACUCGCAACAUCAAGCCGAGGGAUCGGCUAGGCUGCACUUGACAUCUA